rnacentral:rRNA from 1 species
GAUGAACGCUGGCGGCGUGCCUAAUACAUGCAAGUCGAGCGAACGGACGAGAAGCUUGCUUCUCUGAUGUUAGCGGCGGACGGGUGAGUAACACGUGGAUAACCUACCUAUAAGACUGGGAUAACUUCGGGAAACCGUAGCUAAUACCGGAUAAUAUUUUGAACCGCAUGGGUCAAAAGUGAAAGACGGUCUUGCUGUCACUUAUAGAUGGAUCCGCGCUGCAUUAGUUAGUUGGUAAGGUAACGGCUUACCAAGGCAACGAUGCAUAGCCGACCUGAGAGGGUGAUCGGCCACACUGGAACUGAGACACGGUCCAGACUCCUACGGGAGGCAGCAGUAGGGAAUCUUCCGCAAUGGGCGAAAGCCUGACGGAGCAACGCCGCGUGAGUUAUGACGGUCUUCGGAUCGUAAAACUCUGUUAUUAGGGAAGAACAUAUGUGUAAGUAACUGUGCACAUCUUGACGGUACCUAAUCAGAAAGCCACGGCUAACUACGUG